AUGAACCAGAUCCGAAACAACAGGACCAGGUGCUCGUGGGUGCUUAGCCAGAGUGGUCGCGGGGUCGGGAGGGAAGGCGGCGGGUCCCGGGGCCGGUCCCGCCUGCGCACCACCUGGGCACCCGCUGGGCGCCCGCCGGGCUCCCCGCGCCGGCCUGGGCUGCGAGGCGGGGUGGGCGCUGCUGGGUUUGCGUGCGGGACUGGACCUCUGUGCUCCUACGAGCGCUAUUUCGGCCCCGGCACCAGGCUCACCGUCUUAGAGGACCUGAAAAAGGUGAGCCCUCCCAAGGUCACAGUGUUUGAACCAUCAGAAGCAGAGAUCUCCCGGACCCUGAAGGCCACGCUCGUGUGCCUGGCCACAGGCUUCUACCCCGACCACGUGGAGCUGAGCUGGUGGGUGAACGGGAAGGAGGUACGCGACGGGGUCAGCACGGACCCUGAGCCCUACAAGGAACAGUCCGGCGCGAAUGUCUCCAGCUACUGUCUGAGCAGCCGGCUGAGGGUCUCCGCCACCUUCUGGCACAACCCUCGGAACCACUUCCGCUGCCAGGUCCAGUUCUACGGGCUCGGGAAAGAUGACCAGUGGGACUACCCCGAGGCCAAACCCGUCACCCAGAACGUCAGUGCCGACACCUGGGGCAGAGCAGACUGUGGCUUCACUUCGGCGUCCUACCAGCAGGGGGUCCUAUCGGCCACCAUCCUCUAUGAGAUCCUGCUGGGGAAGGCCACCCUAUAUGCCAUCCUGGUCAGCGUCAUCGUGCUGAUGGCCAAGGUACGGAGGCGGGCAGGACGGGGCGGGCAGGCUGGAGGGAGAGGGUAGAACCUGGAAUGUGAGGGGACCGCAGAGCCCGACCCGGGCCUGAUAUUUCCU